AAUUAUUACAAUAUAGAAAUGGUUAUUUUUGUGGCUGUGGUAGAUACCUUUGAAAAUAACGUGCGGGACUUCUUGGACGCAGUAUCCAGUUCUCCAUAGUGGCUUCACAGCGAGGCAGUCCCCAAACCCACAAUCACUUCUUUCUGUUACUCCAACAAAACCUCCUGCACUCUGACCUGUGAGAGCAACACCACUGAUGCUGAACCAGUCACCUACAGCUGGAAAGUGGGAGAGGGGGUGUGAGAGGUCGUAGGAAAAUGGCUGAUUGUCUCUAAGAGCGACAAGGGCCAAUCAACCAACAGUUACAAGUUCAUCUGCAAGAUGAAGGGCUCUACUGGAGAAGAGGAAGUCAGUGAGCCAGUUGGAGAGGUGUUUGGUCCAGAGCCUUCUGACGUCGGUGAUGGUGGGAUUGUUGUUGGUGUUGUCGUUAUCAUUGUAGCGCUUGUUGCCAUUGUCGUAACAAGUAAGAACAGCACAUCUAUAGUAACAGAUCACUGCACAUGUACAUAGUUGUGAAUCAGAGAUUGACAUAACAGCAGCUACAACAGCUAUACCCCCUGAAGGGGAUACAUGUUCUACCUGUAUUUACAUUAGUGUUCAGAUGUGCAGGUACUGUGUGCCGGUUGUUUAUUGGUGCUCUCAGAAAAGAUGGCUUCUAAUUGCAACUUAAGCAUGUAAUUGUCGGUGAAGUCUUACUCAAUAGCUGAAAGAAUAUUAAUGCAUAUUUGUAUUUUUACUCCCCAGUUUGGUUGAUGCUUCACCAAAAUGUUAGACAAUGUGAUUUAAUUUAAACGCUUUAAGCGUCUUAAUAAUGUCUUCAAUUUGUCUGUUUUUCAUUUCAGGAUAUCCCCAAGUCAGCUGGAUUGACCUUUUGAGCAAGGUUUUUGUGGAUUGUGUGGUAAGUGUUACCUUAACUAGACUGGUCCAUAUUCAACCUGCUGACAGGGUCCCCAAAGUAAUACAAACACAACAUUAUUCAUGUACUGUACUAUA